GAUGAACGCUGGCGGCGUGCCUAAUACAUGCAAGUCGAGCGAACAGAUGAGGAGCUUGCUCCUCUGACGUUAGCGGCGGACGGGUGAGUAACACGUGGAUAACCUACCUAUAAGACUGGGAUAACUUCGGGAAACCGGAGCUAAUACCGGAUAAUAUAUUGAACCGCAUGGUUCAAUAGUGAAAGACGGUUUUGCUGUCACUUAUAGAUGGAUCCGCGCCGCAUUAGCUAGUUGGUAAGGUAACGGCUUACCAAGGCAACGAUGCGUAGCCGACCUGAGAGGGUGAUCGGCCACACUGGAACUGAGACACGGUCCAGACUCCUACGGGAGGCAGCAGUAGGGAAUCUUACGCAGUGGGCGAAAGCCUGACGGAGCAACGCCGAGUGAGUGAUGAAGGUCUUCGGAUCGUAAAACUCUGUUAUUAGGGAAGAACAAAUGUGUAAGUAAAUAUGCACGUCUUGACGGUACCUAAUCAGAAAGCCACGGCUAACUACGUG
rnacentral:rRNA from 1 species